UUCAGCAGAUACACUUUGAUCUCACCAAUUCACCAGAGAAAUCAUCCUUGUAUUGCACUGGAAUGGAAACUGCUCUAAGGAACUAUAGGAACUCCAGAGAGGAGAACAGCCUUCCCUCCAUUGAUUCUGUCUACACAUCUUGCAGCCAACAUCUCUCUCUGGAUGUUUUCUCCUCUCCCAUCUCCCAUUGGGCAGAAGAUUCAGAAUCAAGUAUAUCAGCAGCCAGGCACCGUGAAAACUACAAGAAAAUAAAGGACAUAACAGGAUGAAGUGAGCGCUGGAGCCCAGUAUAGAGUACUUAUGCUUUGUAUCUACAACACAAGAUGAUCUUCAAUCCACAUGCUGCAACAUCUGGCUGGGUAGCAAGAUUUGCAUCAUAAAUCCCCCAGGAAGGGCUUUGCACACCUAACUACACUAAACACCUAAUGCUGGAGCAAAGUGUUGUGACUGCAAACAGUAAUCUAUCCCUUUGACGGUAUGGUGGCAUGGUGGUUAGCACAACCCCCUACAGUGCCAGCGAUAGGUGUUCGAUUCCUGCUGCCGACUGUAAGAAGUUUGUAUGUCCUCCCCGUGACUGUGUUGGUGCGCUGGUUUCCUUCCACAUUCCAGAGACA